rfam:Salmo salar isolate Sally breed double haploid chromosome ssa02, whole genome shotgun sequence.
GCCAUUAUGGCUCAGUUGGUAGAGCAUAGUGUUUGCAACGCCAGCAUGGUGUGUGCAACGCCAGGGUUGUGGGUUCGAUUCCCACGGGAGGCA